rnacentral:rRNA from 1 species
GCAUAUCAAUAAGCGGAGGAAAAGAAACCAACAGGGAUUGCCCUAGUAACGGCGAGUGAAGCGGCAACAGCUCAAAUUUGAAAUCUGGCUUCGGCCCGAGUUGUAAUUUGCAGAGGAAGCUUUAGGCGCGGCACCUUCUGAGUCCCCUGGAACGGGGCGCCAUAGAGGGUGAGAGCCCCGUAUAGUUGGAUGCCUAGCCUGUGUAAAGCUCCUUCGACGAGUCGAGUAGUUUGGGAAUGCUGCUCAAAAUGGGAGGUAAAUUUCUUCUAAAGCUAAAUACCGGCCAGAGACCGAUAGCGCACAAGUAGAGUGAUCGAAAGAUGAAAAGCACUUUGAAAAGAGGGUUAAAUAGCACGUGAAAUUGUUGAAAGGGAAGCGCUUGUGACCAGACUUGCGCCGGGCGGAUCAUCCGGUGUUCUCACCGGUGCACUCCGCCCGGCUCAGGCCAGCAUCGGUUCUCGCGGGGGGAUAAAGGCCCUGGGAACGUAGCUCCUCCGGGAGUGUUAUAGCCCGGGGCGCAAUGCCCUCGCGGGGACCGAGGACCGCGCAUCUGCAAGGAUG